rnacentral:rRNA from 1 species
CAUGCAAGUCGAACGGAAACCUUCGGGUUUUAGUGGCGAACGGGUGAGUAACACGUAAGCAACCUGCCCUUAAGACGAGGAUAACAAUUGGAAACAGUUGCUAAGACUGGAUAGGAAAAGUAAAGGCAUCUUUACUUUUUUAAAAGACCUUCUUUGAAGGUAUGCUUAAGGAGGGGCUUGCGACACAUUAGUUAGUUGGCAGGGUAAAGGCCUACCAAGACUAUGAUGUGUAGCUGGACUGAGAGGUUGAACAGCCACAUUGGGACUGAGACACGGCCCAAACUCCUACGGGAGGCAGCAGUAGGGAAUUUUCGGCAAUGGAGGAAACUCUGACCGAGCAACGCCGCGUGAACGAUGAAUUACCUCGGUAUGUAAAGUUCUUUUAUUAAGGAAGAAAAAAGAGUGGAAAAACUCCCUUGACGGUACUUAAUGAAUAAGCCCCGGCUAAUUAUGUGCCAGCAGCCGCGGUAAUACAUAAGGGGCGAGCGUUAUCCGGAAUUAUUGGGCGUAAAGGGUGCGUAGGCGGUUUAAUAAGUCUAUAGUUUAAUUUCAGUGCUUAACGCUGUUGUGCUAUAGAAACUGUUUUACUAGAGUGAGUUAGAGGCAAGCGGAAUUCCAUGUGUAGCGGUAAAAUGCGUAAAUAUAUGGAGGAACACCAGAGGCGUAGGCGGCUUGCUGGGACUUUACUGACGCUGAGGCACGAAAGCGUGGGGAGCAAACAGGAUUAGAUACCCUGGUAGUCCACGCCGUAAACGAUGAGUACUAAGUGUCGGGUAAAACCGGUACUGAAGUUAACACAUUAAGUACUCCGCCUGAGUAGUACGUACGCAAGUAUGAAACUUAAAGGAAUUGACGGGACUCCGCACAAGCGGUGGAUCAUGUUGUUUAAUUCGAAGAUACACGAAAAACCUUACCAGGUCUUGACAUUUUCUUGCGAAGUUAUAGAAAUAUAAUGGAGGUUAUCAGGAAAACAGGUGGUGCAUGGUUGUCGUCAGCUCGUGUCGUGAGAUGUUAGGUUAAGUCCUAAAACGAGCGCAACCCUUGUUGUUAAUUGCCAGCAUGUAAUGAUGGGGACUUUAACGAGACUGCCAAUGAAAAAUUGGAGGAAGGUGGGGAUUACGUCAAAUCAUCAUGCCCCUUAUGAUCUGGGCUACAAACGUGAUACAAUGGUUGAUACAAAGAGUAGCUGAAACGCGAGUUCUUAGCCAAUCUCACAAAAUCAAUCUCAGUUCGGAUUGAAGUCUGCAACUCGACUUCAUGAAGUUGGAAUCGCUAGUAAUCGCGAAUCAGCAUGUCGCGGUGAAUACGUUCUCGGGGUUUGUACACACCGCCCGUCAAACCACGAAAGUUGGCAAUACCCCAAAGCGGUCACCUAACUUCGCAAGAAGAAGGAUCCGUCUAAGGUAGGGUCGAUGAUUGGGGUUAAG